GACGAACGCUGGCGGUGUGCUUAACACAUGCAAGUCGAACGGUAAGGCCCUUUCGGGGGUACACGAGUGGCGAACGGGUGAGUACCACGUGAGUAACCUGCCCUCAUCUCUGGGAUAACAGUCGGAAACGGUUGCUAAUACUGGAUAUGAGCCUGCAAGGCAUCUUGUGGGUUGGAAAGAUUUUUUGGUUGGGGAUGGACUCGCGGCCUAUCAGCUUGUUGGUGAGGUAGUGGCUCACCAAGGCUUCGACGGGUAGCCGGCCUGAGAGGGCGACCGGCCACAUUGGGACUGAGAUACGGCCCAAACUCCUACGGGAGGCAGCAGUGGGGAAUAUUGCACAAUGGACGGAAGUCGGAUGCAGCAACGCCGCGUGCGGGAUGACGGCCUUCGGGUUGUAAACCGCUUUCAAUUGUGACGAAGCUUUUUGUGACGGUAGCAGUAGAAGAAGCACCGGCUAACUACGUG
rnacentral:rRNA from 1 species